rnacentral:lncRNA from 1 species
UGAAGGCCCCAUGGAAGAAUUCUCACAGGGAGGCAGAUGCUGUUGGAAGGAGAGAGCCUGGAAUGUCCGUAGUGGUCAAGAGAAAUGGAAUCCAAGAACACUCGAGAGUAACAACUGCACAGUUUCCUGGGGAAAUUUAAGACAUGUCAGCACAAAUCUAGACUGAGACUGACUCAUUCGGCAGGAAGAAUAUGUCUACAUGCCAGAGUAAGCAGAAAAUGGGGUGAGAUCUCAAGAAAAGGGAGUGGGAAGGCAGUUUACAAUUUAAGAU